CCUACGGGAGGCAGCAGUGGGGAAUAUUGCGCAAUGGGCGAAAGCCUGACGCUGCGACGCCGCGUGAGGGAUGAAGGUCUUCGGAUCGUAAACCUCUGUCAGCAGGGAAGAACGGUACCUGGGCUAUUCAGCAGUGCAUUGACGGUACCUGCAAAGGCAGCACCGGCUAACUCCUUGCCAGCAGCCGCGGUAAGUCGGAGGGUGCGGGCGUUAAUCGGAAUUACUGGGCGUAAAGCGAUCGUAGGCGGUAUGUCAAGUCAAGGGUGAAAUCCCCGCGCUCAACGUGGGAACUGCCUUUGAAACUGGCAAACUGGAGUGUGUGAGAGGAUAGUGGAAUUCCAGGUGUAGGAGUGAAAUCCGUAGAUAUCUGGAGGAACAUCAGUGGCGAAGGCGACUAGCUGGAACAUAACUGACGCUGAGGAGCGAAGGCGUGGGUAGCAAACAGGAUUAGAUACCCUAGUAGUC
rnacentral:rRNA from 1 species